rnacentral:tRNA from 1 species
ACCCGGGGGGCUCAGUCAGUUAAGCGUCUGACUUCAGCUCAGGUCGUGAUCUCGUGAUUCGUGGGUUCGAGCCCCACAUCGGGCU